rnacentral:rRNA from 1 species
CCCUUAGAUGUUCUGGGCCGCACGCGUGCUACACUGAGUGGAUCAGCGGGUCAGGUUGCGCGAAAGUGUUUCCUAAUCUUUAAAUCCGCUCGUGAUGGGGAUUGACGGUUGCAAUUUUCCGUCAUGAACGAGGAAUACCUUGUAAGCGCGGGUCAUCAUCCCGCGCUGAAUACGUCCCUGCCCUUUGUACACACCGCCCGUCGCUCCUACCGAUUGAGUGGUCCGGUGAGGCUUUGGGAUCUGAGCGGAAAGAGCGUUUCGCUGUUUCUGCCCGGAAAACUCAGUCGAACCUUAUCAUUUAGAGGAAGGAGAAGUCGUAACU